UUUUUUUUUUUUUUUUUGUCUUGUAUUCUGGACUUAAAGUCACAGCCCUGCCCUGAACUUCACUAGUGCCAGCAUCUCGUCCAAAUUCUGCUCCCCCACCCCUUCCUCACCUUCCUCCAUUCCUGCCCCCAACCGGGCAUUCUGCUUUCACUCAUCACUGCCACCUUUUUGUUUCUCUUCCCCGAUUUAGAUUUUCGUGCCAGACGUGCAGAGCAGCCAUCUCAUUUGGUAAACACUAGAUGAACACUUCUUAAAUAGAAGCAACAUCCUUUCCAGCUAGCUUUGUUAAAGGGGCAGAGACCGUUCAGCCCAUCAAACUGAUGGAUUAAAAAAAAAAGUAACAUGUAAGUUAGAAAAAUACUUCAGGAAAGAUGUGCCAUCAUUAUCAGUUCCUCAAGAUAAUCAAUUAGAAGGAAACUCAUUGACCACUAAGUGUGGAACUCUUCCGAAAGCAGCAGGUGAAGGGGAAGCAACUCCUGGAGCCCACCUGCCAUCAAGCCUGUUCCCAAUGCUGAACCUACACAAGAGGCAAUAGAACCCUAUUUGAGGGUCCUGACUUUUCUGUUCAGUAUCUGCCAUAGAUGGGCUACAUCAAAGGAAAGAUUGGCUAGCAAACCAGUCCAAAUCUAUGACCCUUCUUUUAAAAUGGAUCAUGAGGGCCUUAAACCAUGGGUCAACUGCAAAGUGUCAUAAUAACUUUGCUUCCCAAGUUUCUUUAUGAAUUUGCCUGGAAGUGGCACACCUUUGAAGAACUUGUGUGUGUGUGUGUGUGUGUGUGUGUGUGUGUGUGUGUGUGUGUGUGUGUGUGUAUUUAUGUGUUUGUUUUCUCUGUGGAAUCUUGAACAUCUACCCCUUUUCUACCUUAGUUUAUUUACCUAUCAAAUGAGGUUGAAUAUAUGAAAACAAUUAUUAAAUUGUGGAAAUUCAUGUGAAAUUUACUAAGAAAUGACAACAACGCUGUGUAUACAGCAAACACUCAAUAAAUUUUAAUAAUUAUUUCAGUAAAACCACAAUUACUGUAUAAGGAUUGAAAGACAUUACAGACAAUAUCAUGCCUGCCCCUGAGAAAGAUUCGCAAUAAGCACUGUACUAAACGCAUACAUUUUUUUAUAAUCACUUGAUAGCAAAGGUAGUUUCCACUGGAAAAGUGCAAUUAAGAGCUCCUAAAACAAAGCAAAACUGUGUGGUGUGUAUGUGUUCAUACAGUUUCUAAAGACAGAAAAUUCUAAAACUGACUCCCCAUAGGCUGCUACUCCAAGAAGCUGUAGAACUGCCAUUAGGUCUAAGUCUUGCUUUCAGAAAAAUCCAUGGAAAGUGUUAGCAGAGAACAAUCCAGGGGAAGUUACUGUAGCAUUCAGAAACCUGGCCAGGUGGCUUUCAAGGUCUGAGAAUGUGAGGGAGGAGGUAUCCAAAAGUAGUCUCUAAAAGAGCCACAGGUCAUGGGCAGCUCCACCCAGUUGAUCCCCUUAUCUUUGCUGGCUCAGCUACUUGUCCUUGGCAGAUAUUCCGGCAAUGCACUCUGUUGAACAAGAGUGAAUGGGAGAACUUUAAACAGGGCAAAAAGAAAGCUUAGCAACGGAGGGAAAAGUGAGUAUUUUCUAACCAAAGUCACUGCCUCUAACUAGAUUUUAUAGUUUGGGUUAAAAAAUUUAAAUCUCUCUUAAGCUUUAGGUGGGUGUUCUCUCUCUCUCUCUCUCUCUCUCUCUCUCUCUCUCUCUCUCUCUCUCUCUCUCUCUCUCUCUCUCUCUAGUUAAUAUAUUAUUUACUUAGCAAAUGUUUGUUGACCAUUUAUCCUGCCACAUGUCAGGAUCUGCUAUAGGAAAGAAGAUAACAAUUCCAACCUUGUAUGACUGUUGUAAAGAGAACAUGAGUUUGUAUAUAGAACAUGCUUGAUACAAUCAUUAGUACCCAUACCAUUGGCUACAAUCAUUGAGACAAUCAUUAAUACCAUCGGCUAGUUAAUGAUUAUUAUACUUUAGCCUGCAUGACUCUCACCAUAGAGCUUAACAAUUAUGGAUUUUUCCUGGAGUAACACCCAUAGAUACUCCAGUUCUGAAGGUAUAAAAGAAAGUGACAUAGGAAUGUGCAUUUUUAAUGGCUGUAAUAACUGACUGUGUGGCCCAUGAAAUGGAACUUCAAGAGAAGUGGACUUUUUCUUCAUGUUCUUCCCAAUUUCCAAAUGAAGAUUCAAAGCCUGGAUUCAAAGGUCUCUUGACUCUACCGGCCUCUCAAUGCUACAUUCAAUGUCUUGAUUGAUAAGAACAAUGUGCAUAUGACCAGGAAUGAUAGUAAGGUAAAAAUGUGUUUGUAUUUGCCCAUUCCCAAGUUACUUUAUGAUACCUAAAGGAGGCCAUGAUUGACAGAUCAUCAUUAUCCCUUGAAUAAAUGUUCUAGCAUAGAGUACAUUGCAUGUGGCUUUAAGAUUUGCUUAGACAAAAGCAGAUACCCUACAUCUAUAAUCCUGUGUCUUGUUUUAUUCUAAUAAUAGUCUCCAAGUGCUUCUCAAUUCAACUCACCUAUGUUACUCUUCCCCUGAUUGCAGUGUUCCUGAUGGCUGUUAUCUUUCCCGAUUUAGUCACUUCCUCUUAAUAGACACUAAGAGUAUCUUUCAGAAGCUCCUGAGAGAC
rnacentral:lncRNA from 1 species